rfam:Calothrix sp. HK-06 NIES-2101_Scaffold_151, whole genome shotgun sequence.
UGGUAGAUGCACCCUGAUAACUCACUCCCCUAGUAGACUGCCAUCCGCUAGGGGUUUUUUUA